UACGGGGGGGGCAAGCGUUGUUCGGAUUUACUGGGCGUAAAGGGCUCGUAGGUGGCCAACUAAGUCAGACGUGAAAUCCCUCAGCUUAACUGGGGAACUGCGUCUGAUACUGGAUGGCUUGAGUUUGGGAGAGGGAUGCGGAAUUCCAGGUGUAGCGGUGAAAUGCGUAGAUAUCUGGAGGAACACCGGUGGCGAAGGCGGCAUCCUGGACCAACACUGACACUGAGGAGCGAAAGCCAGGGGAGCAAACGGG
rnacentral:rRNA from 1 species